UACGAAGGGGGCGAGCGUUGUUCGGAUUUACUGGGCGUAAAGGGCGCGUAGGCGGCCUUGUUUGUCAGGCGUGAAAGCCCUGGGCUCAACCUGGGAGGUGCGCUUGGGACGGCGAGGCUUGAGAUCGAGAGAGGUGAGUGGAAUUCCCAGUGUAGAGGUGAAAUUCGUAGAUAUUGGGAAGAACACCGGUGGCGAAGGCGGCUCACUGGCUCGUAACUGACGCUCAUGCACGACAGCGUGGGGAUCAAACAGG
rnacentral:rRNA from 1 species